GCAGGGGUCCGGGGCGGCGCGCCGGGGUCGCGGGCCCCUCAGCCAGCGCUUGGGCCGCUCCGCCGCCAGGGUGCGCAUGUUCACCUGGAACCAGGAACACCACACUCUUUCUUUCCCAGGGAGACAAGGAGAUGAGCUCAGAGCUCGGCGCCUUUCACCUGCCGCCCUCCCAGGCCUUCUGACCCUGUGACCUCCCUUCCUUCUCCCCUUUUCCCGGCUGUUCUUGGGGGAGGUGAGCCUUGGUCUCUCACGUGAGACUCUUCCUAGUUCUCUGAGGAACUCAGAGCAGAUGCCAAUGGGUGCCCCUCAGCCUGCUAGUGGCAAGGAGCCACGAUCUUGACCCCAAGAGGGUUCUUGGACCUUCAAGAAAGAAUUCAGGAUGCCCAUAAAGUUGUGGCCCCUCUGUGCUGAUACGUAACUGUGCCCACCAUUGGUUCCUUCCGGCAUGUUCUAGCGUCACUGGCCCCUGACUUCAAGCAUGAAGCCGCGGACCCUCACAGCUCCUGAAACUUUCAGAAAAAGGCUAGAGGAUCACUCGAUACUCUUCAGUCUCCUGUGCAGAGAGCUGGGAAUGUUUAGGAAUUCGCCUCCUCCCAGGACAACGGUGGAGACUCACUGGUGCAGGGAGCACAUACUUAGCUCUCCUGCCUGUGUGGAGACAGUCUGAGGUGCAAGCCAGCUCCAGAGCUCCUGGGGACCAGGUGCACAGAAGAUGUAGCGUGCAGCAUUCUGCCAAAGGUGCCAUAACUUAUUUGCACAUGGAACCCUCUUACUUCCCUGAGAUUGUGUCCGGAGGACAGACUUCAAAAACCGUUUUGGACAGAUUCUGCUGUGUUCCUGGCUUUUCUUCCAUCAUGCACUUAGAGCAGGAGCCCACAAGCCAGCUGGGAAGCAAUUAUCCGCACCACUGACCUCCGAGAGGUCAGGCCCACUCAUGGAAACCAGCACUCACUAAAUGCCAUGGGAGCAGCGUGGCUCUAACAGCUUGCAGAGGGUCACAGGGGAGUGGCCAACAUCAGAGCUCUCAAAGAGCAGUGCCCUGCAUGUGUGGAAAAGUGCUCUUAGGAGCCCAAGAGAAGUGGAAGAAAUAUUAAGACUUCACUUAAUAAAUAAAAUAGAAGAGGGUUAAAAAACAUGAUGUUCGGAUAUCACCACCUCCAAACUCCCAUCAGUUCAAACAGGUUCUCAGAAAACACAUUUCCCAGUGCUGUGUAUAAAACGCAAGUCCCAGUCAAGAGGAUUUCAGAGGCCCACCUGCCACAGAGUGAGUGAGCAACAUUCUGACGUUGAUCUUUUCAGCCAUUUUUCCCUUUUCCUUUUCAUCCUCUGGCUGUUAGCAAAUCACAUCUUCACAAUGUUUCCUUGAGCGUUCCCAUUCUCUCUGCAGCUGGGUGUGCUGCAUGCCUGGCAAUCCCUGAAACAAAAGCCGUUCGCUGAGGGUGGAGGUGGAGUCUCCCCGGCUCCUGAGCUCACAGCACC